GUCCAGGUGGGUCCAGAUCCUGCCGCGCGCUCUGCCUCUCUCCGCUGCUCCUCUCUCUCCUCCCCCACAUCUCCCUGUCUCACCUUGUCCCAGUGGAAGAAGGAAGUGUCAGGUCAGACCCUCUGAAGCCCACCGGCCCAGUUCGUGAUAGGAAGCGGCAGUUUGUGCCGAUCUGAAGCCCAGGAUGAGGCGCAAGGAGCGGCGGGCCCCGCGGCCUCAGGCGGGGUGAAGAAACAAAGAGGAGGCUCCCUCCGGUCGGUGCAGGCAGCAGCAUGCCCGGUUCUCCCUCCGGGCCCAGCAGGACGUGACUCAACAGCCCGAACCGCCCACAGGUCCCCGCCUAACGCUCCGAACCUCAGCGCUCUGGACGGAUUUUCAGCUCAACGCAUCUUUAUACAGAUGGACGAAUAAUGUUGGACUGAAGCUUUAAACUUAUUAAAUAAUUCAAUUCA